rnacentral:lncRNA from 1 species
CACAACAAUACGAUCAUCGCCGGAUAAUCGUACGAAUCCGGGUUCCCGGAAGUGUCUAUUUCGACACCGGAACCCUCCGUCGCUCACCUAUCAUCAUCAAACCUACAAAAUAAUGAUGGUGACCAGCCAACAAGGCUCAGCGACAAAACACAGAGCAAACAAACACCGUCGAAAAGAAUCCGAACCAAAAUCGCGUUUUUUCGACGAAUUUCGUCGAAAAACGCACCGAAAUCGACCUUUCGAUUUCCGCGGGAGCUAACGGAUCAUGGACAAUCAGUCCA